UACAGAGGGGCAAGCGUUAUUCGGAAUUAUUGGGCGUAAAGGGCGCGUAGGCGGCCUGGCAAGUGGAAGGUGAAAUCCCUCGGCUUAACCGAGGAACUGCCCUCCAAACUGCUUGGCUUGAGUCCGGGAGAGGUGAGUGGAAUUCCCAGUGUAGCGGUGAAAUGCGUAGAUAUUGGGAGGAACACCAGUGGCGAAGGCGGCUCACUGGACCGGAACUGACGCUGAGGCGCGAAAGCGUGGGAGCAAACGGG
rnacentral:rRNA from 1 species